AAAAAAAAAGAGAAGUCAGUGUAUGUGUGUGGGGGUGCGAUCGAGAGAAAGACCAAGGAGAAACCCUUCUCCUCAAAACCUAGCAAGAAAUCAUCAAAUUGAAGGGCAAUAGGGCUGAAAUCUUAUGCAUGAGUGAAGAACUAAGAUCACCUAAGUGUUCUUGACAUCAAGCGUGAAGGAGGAAGGUACAAGCCUAACCGGUUCGCAAGCAACGCAAAACAAAGGUGAAUCUCACUCUUGAUAAUGGCGAGCUUGGAUCGAACACACCACAUCGCCCUUUAUGCGCUUCCGGUUUAGUCUCUUUGUAAAUGGGUCAAAUCACUUUUAUAAUGUAAAUGUUAAGUUUAUGUCUAAGAUGUUUCGUAAGUAAACUAGGAUUUUAAAUCUUAUUUUUGGUAGUUCGGACAAAACACUUUUGGUGGAAUCUUGUAUGGUUACAACUUAUAUGUCUUUUGAAACGUGUCAUAGAAUUUAGUUUGAAUGGUGAUUGUUAAAAGCAGGGAAUUGUAUAUAGUACGAACGGGUCAUGCCCAAUUUUUGUUAAAAAUUAGUAUGUGGUUACUAUUAUUUUCGAAUGUGAAAAAAGUGGGCGUUACAAGUUGGUAUCAGAGCCGAGGUUUGAGGGAUUCGGGCACGGGAUAGGGUGCUCGGACUCAAACCAAAAGCUCAAGAUAUGGUGUGUGUUCGCUCCAAGACGCGGUUAAGGUACGAAUUUAGUAUUAUGAUUUCUAAGUUUCAUUUUAUCGGAAAUGGUUAAGGGAAGGGACGUGGAGUUUUGCUAUGGGUAAUGCCUGAAAAUGGUAAUUCUGGAAGCCCCGGGGAAAGUUCGGGUGUUACGGUACUCGGGAACGGGUUGGAAUGGGUAAAAAAAAAAAAAAAAUCAAGCACAACAGCGUU